UAUGUUUAUACAAAUAUUAUAUAAUAUAACAUACCUGAAUGAAAACAUUAAUGUAGAACAUAGUUGCAUUAAAAGCAGAGAAAAGAUGUGAAUAAAUAAAUUUGAUAUGAAAUAUUUUUGUGUGAAAAUAUGUCAUGUUCAUGUAGUUGACACUUUUUGACACUUUCUUUAGUCACACUUUAUAAGAAGUGGUAAAAGUAUACUUCUGUAUAAUGUAUAUAUGAUGUUUAUAUAGUAUUUAGAGUGAAGAAAGAACAUAAAAUGUUAAUAAUUGAAAUUGAUACUUUGUAAGGGAUGGGAACAUUGUCCAGUUCCUUCCCAUUCAUGCCUAUCCUAAGCCAACCUGACCCAGUCCAUCCCAUUUCUGAUGGGUAAUAAAUGUUUGAUAGUACAAAUAAUAUAUAAUAUAGCAUAUUAGAAUUAAAAUAUUUAUGUUGAGCAUGGCCAAAAUAAAGGAAGAGAAAAUAUGUGUAUAUAUAGAAUAAUUAUGAAUAUGUUUUAAUCGUGCAAUUGACCCUUACUAUGGUAACACUUUAUAAGAAGUAAAAGUACACUUCUUUAUAAGUAGAUAUAUAUUUGAUAGAAAAGGUUAUAAACAUUUGUUUUUUGAGCUGUUCAUAAUAUUAUUAUGGAAUCAGUCUAUUACCUAAAGACAAAAAGACAAAUGAUUAUUAAAUCUGGAACCACACUUGCAUGGGCAAAUGAAGGUUCAUGUACAGUUGUUGAAAGUUACAUUCUUGCUGUAUUUUGAGUAAGUAAGUAAGGACUUUAUUUAAAGUGGAUAACAUAUAUGGCAUUGGAUACAUUUUUCAAAACCGAUUAACAAUAUGGUCCGCUAAGUAGUCCACUAAGAAGUUUGGAAAAAUUGUUUGAUAGGUAAAAUACUUUUGUGUGUUUCAGUCAUAUUUGCUGACCAUUGUUGAAGCUGUGGAUUUUCCCUGGGAAAGAAUGAAGAAUGUUUUCAAGAAGAGACUGUAUUCAUUUGUAGUUUUGAAGUGACGAAAGAAUAACAAAUUGGUACUUACUGGAAAUUAUAUAUUUUGUGGAGUUGGGAAUCUGUCCUGUCUAUUCCUGUUCCUCCCCAUUCUGUUUUGUCCCAUCCUGACCUGGCCCAUCCAUUCCUGAUUGAUAAUCUAGAAGUGUUUGUAAAAAGAGCAAGCUGCAUAAUUAUAUGAAUGGAAUUGUAUAUUGAAGUAGUGUUUUAGAAUAUGGCCACAAAAUAAGCCGAAAAAAAAAGACUGUAUAAAAAAUAUUAAUACAAAAUAUGUUAGUGUGAGAAUGUGUUCUAUUUAUGCUGUAGAUACUUAGUUGUUUAUUAUUGUAUAAAACUAAAUUGUGUUUCAGGAAAGUAUAAUUCGUAAUUCUACAGUAUACGAGUUUUUGUCAAACAUAUGGAUACAGUUAUACAAUAUUAUACAGAAUAUAAGAUAGAAUAAAUAUUAAACCUAGAAUGACAUUUGUAGCAAUAUGUAAGGGAAAACUGCUGGAUAUAUAAACAUUGAAUGUAACAACAUGACAGGUCUCUUACAUUUUACUGUUUCUAGAGACAGAAGACAAAAGAUGUUGAAUGUGACAGCUGUAAAUGCUGGAAAUUUAAGUAGCAGGCUACAAGACUGAUUUCCAAACCAAAUGAUAGGCACUGAAAUACCCAUGGAUGAAGAAUCAGAAGGCUUAAUCAGUGGAUGGUGAAAAUUGUCACAUGCUGUAGAUAUAAUCCCUCACACCACCAGCACCAACUCUGACAGAUGGUAUCUCAACAUACAGUAGAUCCAGGGUGAUACAUCAUAGAUUAGAUAUAGCUGGUCAAAUCAUACAAGAAUGUUGAGACAUCGAUAGUUGGUUUCUAUAAUAAUGUCUGCAGCCAGAGUUCGGAGAAACGGAUCAGCUCAAAGAACAUUGGAGGGGUCUGAUGACAAUAUCGAUAUAGGUUUUGAAGAAGAUGAUAAAGGAAAAUUGGCAGAGGUAAAGGAGACAAAUGAUGGUGCGAAAAGUAGAAAUAUCACAAGUUAACAGUCAAUAAGGGAAAUGACUCCAGCCAGUAACUCAACAAGUCGUGAGCUUGCAAGAUAUGUCACAGAAAGGCGGGUUUAUGUAGCUGCUGCAGAUUAACCCAGUCUUGCUGAAACCAGAAGUUGUCAAACUGCUGGCUGGAUUUCUACAGAACAUCAAAGGAGUGAUCAGUACCAGCCCUCGCUGGCACGUUCUGUUUCACUGCAAAAUGGCCACCAGAGCUCAAAGUAGAAAAAUUUUGUCCGGCGUUCACUGGUCAGACUGCUAGACAGAUUUUGUCGAAACUUCACAUCAGUACAAAGCCUAGUUGUGCAUACUGCCGACAUGUUCUGCUUUGCUGCAGAAAAUGGCCACCAGAGCUAAAGGUGAUCUACAACGUGAUUCUACAACUGCCAAGGAACUUCGGCAGAAGAGCUGGUAUAUAGGGGAGUGGAGGGAGCAGAUUGCAGUACAGUCAAACCUGUCUAUAAAGACCACCCUUGGGAGAGUCAAAAUGUGGUCUUUAUUGGGAGGUGGUCAUUAUUCACAGGUUAAAAUAUACUGUAAAAUUUAAUGUAAAAAUGGGAAACAAAACAUGUGUUCUUUAGAGCCAUGUUGUCUCUGUUCAGAGGUGGUCUUUAACUCCGGUUUGACAAUAUACAUCUCAGUGGGAGUGGAACAGGCAGAUUUCAAUACAAACUACAUCAGUGGGAAAAGCGCAAUGAAGUUCAGCUGUUUCCAGCUUGAAACACAUGCGUAUGCAAUUUGGAAAUCUUGAAAGUUAUAUGCAGUUGGGGAUAUCGUCAGUUGUAUGCAGUCAGGAGAUCAUGACAGUUGUAUGCAGUCAGGAGAUCAUGACAGUUGUAUGCAAUCCGGGGAUCUUGACAGUUGUAUGCAGUCAGGAGAUCACGACAGUACUUUGCAGUCCAGGGAUCUUGACAGUUGUAUGCAGUCAGGAGAUCACGACAGUACUUUGCAGUCCAGGGAUCUUGACAGUUGUAUGCAGUCAGGAGAUCUUGGAUCUUGGAUCUUUUUGUACUGUUGACAUUCUCAAGAUUCUGUCUUAAAAAAAACUUACUUGGACAGCUUAAAAGCUUCUCUAUAACUUGCCUGUGCCAUUCUUAAGUAGAAGACAUGUGUAUGAAUAUUUAGUUCUGGCAUGCCAUACUUGAGCAAUUGAGUUUUGGAAAGGUGGCAAUUUGAAUGUUUACAGUGGUCUCUGUAAACUAUUAUUAGGCAACUGGUUCAGCUGGCCGGUCAGGGACGUCCAAUGCCCAGACUGCUGGUGCCGCAAACCCCACUGACGGGACAACUAGUUUGGCUGGCUGGUCCAGGUCCUCACAGACCCAGACAGCUGGUUCUGCAAACCCCAUGGAUGUCGGCAGGAAUGGAGUUCACUAUAUGGAGUGAGAAGAAACUGAAAUUACAAAACUGUUUUGAUUAGAGAUGACAACCGCACUGACAGGACAACGGGUUCGGCUGGUGGUCUGGGUUGUCCAGUGCCCAGACUGCUGGUGCUGCGAACCCAAAUGACAGGACAACAGGUUCGGCUGGCCGGUUUGGGUCCUCACAGACCCAGACUGCUGGUGCCGCGAACCCUACAGAUGUCAAUAGAAAUGGACAUGGUUUGCACAGGCCAUGAAAAAUCCUUGAAUUUGAUGCCUACUUCUUGAAAAGUACUUGUAUUUUGUAACAGUCAGAAACUACUUGAAAACUACUUGAAUUUAGGAAAAAACGUACAAAAGAUGGCAAAUAGUCCUUAAAUUCAUCGGAUGCGAAGUAAAAACGGACAAACAUUAUAAAUGAACCAAAAUAAACUAAAAAACGACGAAAAAAAAAACAAACGUUACCGCCAUUAGGGCCUGCCAUGGAGUCAAUGAUAGUACGGUACGGUACUGUACUUUACGGGUUUUAUGCUCUUUCAAGUAAUUUUCACAUUGUAAUUUAUCCGCGAUGCGUUGAAGGUAAAUCUUGUGUUACAUUGUUUAAUUUUGUCCUAAAUUGGAUUUAAAUUGGUUAUUUCAUGUCUCAGCAACAGUGACAUUGCGCCCAUUUUAGUCCUUGAAAAUGGAGAAAAACUACUUGAAAACUCCUUGAAAACUACUUGAAUUGUUUUUUGGAAGGUCUGUAUGAACAUCGAUGGAGUUCACCAUAUGGAGUCGAAAGAAACUGAAAGCACAAAAGUUUUUGAUUAGUGAUGACAACCGCACUGACAGGAGCACUGGUUUGGCUGGCCGGUCUUGGGUGUCAAAUGCCCAGACUGCUGGUGCCGCGAACCCCACCGACAGAACAACUGGUUUGGCUGGCCGGUUUGGGUCCUCACAGACCCAGACUGCUGGUGCCGCAAACCCCAUGGAUGUCCGCGGCUCUCAUCUGGUGGAAGAAACGGCUACAAGUAGUGAGCAGCAUAGAAACAAGCAUUCUAGAAAACGAGAAUGUGAUUCCAAUCGUGACCAGGUUGGUGACCUUGAUGGUGGUCAUUGGGAUACGUAGGAUUUGAUAAACAGGCGGGGAACUGCAGAAAGGGCAUGAAUAAAGGACAGGGCGGGUAUCUUGGAAGAGGCGCAUUUGAUAAACAGGGCGGGAGUGAUAGUUCUGUGAGAUAUUGUUCUGGAGAUUGCAGUGGGCGUGAUUCUUAUCACCCGCACCCUGGGAGUUCAGUAGUAGAGGUUGACAGAGCAGAUUUCAGAGAUGAUAGGAAGACAGACAGAGCACAGACACAGAGACGAUAGCCGUCGAAGCCACCAGCGUCUUGACUGAGACUUUUAUAAUUAUUGUAAUAAAACUUGGUUGAAUUUGUGAAUGGAUGGAACACAAAUGGUCUCUCAGAUAAUUUUAUUUUUAGAGCAAAUUUUAUUGAUAAACUUCAUUUUGAUGUGAUUGUUAUUUCAGAAACACACCUAACAGGUGAUAAGAUAAUUGAACUGUCUAUGUAUUUCAUGGAUACAAUAGAAAAAAUAUAUUCACAUAAAUGCACAAACUGGUUCAGGUGGAGUUUCUAGGAGUUUGUAUUUUUGUAAAAAGGUCAUUUGCAGAACAUUUUAGUAUUGAAAUUUUAGACAUAAGCUAUGAGGGAAUUUUAUGGUUAAGUUUUAAAUCUAAAAAAGUUUUGAGAACAUUUUUACUGUUUGUGCUUGCUUUUUGCCACAAAUGGGAUCUUCUUCAUAUGUGGAGAUCAUGAUCAUUUUGACCAACAGUUAAGUAAUAUGUAUGAAUAUCAGAAAUUUGGUAAAUUGUUUAUUCAUCAGUAGAUCAGGUGUAAGAGAUAACUGGCAAAGUUCUGUACCAUUUGAAUUUGUAGAUGAUUCUGAGAUUUGUACUUCUAGCCCUGUUUUAGUUUUAAAUAUGUGGAAAACAGACUUCUAUAACUUACACUGAAUACUGACAUGUUUAUUGAUGGAUUACAAAUAAGGCGUAAAAAAAAAAAAUUGUUUGUUUCCGGUAUCCCGACCUACCCUAAAUUUUUGGCCCGACCCUAAAUGUUUUUAUGGCCUUGGAGAAUAUUUUUUUCAACUUUUUAACAAAAAGAUGCAAAACUGCACUUUUUAUGCUUUAAACAUGGCCAGUGAUGUUAGAAAUCAACUUACUGAUGCUCUAAAGGCAUAACCCCCUUAUUUGUAAUCAUUUUUUGACAAAAAAGUAUUUUCCGAAAAGUCUCCCUUAAUAAAAAAAAUUUCCAAAAAAAAGAAAAAUUCCGACCUAACUACCCUAUUUUUUUUUUAGCAUGUUACCGGAAACAAAGAAUUUUUUUUUGUAGGCCUAAGGAAAGCAAUGUAUAUAUAGAUAAUUGUACUGAUCAAGACAUAUUCACAUUGUUUGAUGUUAAAACUGCUAUUUUUAAUGUUAAAAAUAAUAGAGCAAUGAGAAAUGAUGAAAUACCAAGUAUAGGUUUUAAAUAUGAGGCACAGUAUUUGCAUUUGAUGUUUAAUUUCUGUUAUAACACCGGCAAAGUACCAAAAGCUUUGGGUAAAAGUAUUAUUAACCCUGUACUGAAAGAAUCUACAACCACUACUAAGGAUCCAUUGUAUUACAUGGGUAUUUCUAUCAUACCAGUCAUACACAAAAUUAUUGUUCAUUGUUAAAUAAGAAACUUACCUCUUUUGUUCAAACAAACUGUAUUUUAUUUGAAGGCCAAAAUGGCUUCAGUAAAAGUCGAAGUACCAUUGAUCAUCUAUCGACUUUAACAAGUACUGUUGAUACAUGGUGUAAAAUGAAGUUGUUGACAUAUUGUUCAUUUAUAGACUUAAGGAAGGCUUAUGACUGUAUAAAUGGCAAAUUUUAUGGUGUAAAUAAGAUAGCAUUUUAGGGAAUCAGUUAUUAAAUGCCAUAAAAUGUUUGUACAACAAUGUUAUGUGCUCAGUUAGAGUUAAUAGGUUUCUUACAGAAUGGUUCCAUAUAAACACAGGGUUGAAACAAUGCUGUGCAUUAUCACCAAUGCUCUUGAAUCUUUUGUAAAUGACCUUGCUGUUAAGCUAGAUUCAUUGAUUAAAGGUAUUGAUAUUUAUGGUACAAACUGUUCAGUUUUGUUCUUUGCUGAUGAUUGAGUAUAUUGAUAACAGAUAAUCCUGAAAAUCUGCAAUGUCUUCUGAAUGUAUUACCGGUAAUUAAUACUUGCCAUGGUGUGUUGAUAAUAGAAUGAAUAUAAAUGUUGACAGAUCAAAGAUAGUAUAUUUUAGAAAUGGGUCUCUCAGUAGAAAUGAUUUUAUAUAUGACUUUAGAUGUGAGAAUUCAGUGGUUGAGUAUGCCUCUCGGUAUAAGUACCUUGGUCUUAUUUUGACUGAACACAUGGAUUUUCUCAGUCACAGCAAAAUGUUUAGCAAAGUCUGCUGGGAGAGCCCUUGGUUUACUUAUAGCGAAGGCAUGUUCAGUUGGUGGAUUUCUGUAAUUGACGUUUACUAAGAUUUACGAGUCAACCGUUGUACCGAUUAUCACUUAUGUUUCUGGUAUAUGAACUAUAAUUGAAGAAGAUUUCGGUUGUAUUAAUGGUAUCUAACAUAGAGCAGCUAGAUAUUUUGUGCUGCAGUAAAUAGAGAUAUUGGGCGGCAGCCAAUGACUUGUAAGGUUAAGAAAACACUUGUACAGUUAUGGUCUAGAUUAGUAAAUGUGUCAAGUGACAGAAUAAACAGGAAAAUAUUUGCAUGGUCUAAAAAUGCUAGUAAUAGAAAACUGCAAAAAUUGAAAUUUUAAAGCUGUUAAAUUGUUUUUAAAAUGUAACUUCUGGUUCUAUUGGAUCUUUGAGUCCAUUCAACAUAUGUGUAAUAGUUUCCCUUAAGCCGGUGCUAGAGGGUGUGAGAGGUGUUGCACAUUUCAUUGCCUCUCAUGAACAGACUCAAUCAAACCGAGUCUGCUAUUAUUCUGCUUGGUUGCAUUCUUUGCUUCCAAAUGAUCUUUUUACAGAAUUUAUUAAGUGAACAUGUACAGAUUGGCCAGUUUUCCUCAAGACAUGAGAAAUGUGAAAAAUUGAUUCCUAGACUAUAUGAAGACUAUGUUAAUUCAUGACAUGCAAAAAUUAACCGAGUAAAUGCUCAAAGGGGAAACAACAGAUUGUCAAUCACAUAUUUGUCUGGCUUAAAGCGUAGCUUCUUGAAAUAACACCCCAACAAUUAUUUGAAAUAUUGUUAAUCAACAAAAGUACUGACAGUGUUUACAUGUUUAUUUCUUAACUAUAGAAACCAAACUAGAAAUAUAACAAGAAUGUCAAAAUAUAAAUCUUUAUAUUUAAUAAAAACACCCGAAGGAUUUUUAAUUCACAGACCACAAAUUUGUAGAUCGAGCUUUAAAAAUAAAGAACAAAUGUGAGACCUAUCAGACAUUAUUUCAAGUAUUAGGAAAACUUAUUAAUAUACACAUUACAUUAACAUCAGACUGUCCAAUAUUUAACACCCAAGUGGGAGAGGUAGUGUUAAGUCUGCUUCAAGGACAUAUUCUUGAAACCCCCCCCCCCCCCCCCCCCCGAGUUAACUUGACGCAUGGCAUGCACAUUUUUAAAUAUAAAUGUUAUUUCAUUAACUACUAGAUCUUUCAUGGUACUUAUGAAUUGAUUUUCACUACAUACUAAGUAUUGCUUCAGUAAAUUUAAUUAAUUGAAGUGACUUUAAUAUAGUACAAUGAUAUUUUAAGAAUUGCCAUGUGAAAGGUGUCAGUGUGAAGUUUUCAGCCACUGUGAUCUUCAUUUAGGGAACUGAAGCCAUUGUUGCUACACUGUAUCUAUUUUUAUAUGUGUCGAAAACUGAGAUACUAUAUAUAAUUCACAUGUAUAAAUUUUUAUUUUUUUAGGGUUAUAGAUCACAAUAGUAUGUUGUUUUGUGAUUGGUAUUUCAGUGCCAUACUGAAAAUGUUAAAACACAAUGUCAAGUCAUAUAUUUUGGUUUAGUGGGGUGUAUUACAGCUCUCCAAUACAUUUUGGUCCGAUCGUGUCACCUAGUUGUCACUUUGGCAAUCAUGUAAUCAAUUCAGGUAAUUAUAGUUACCAAAUCAAGCUCCAAUUUUGUACUUGCUCUUAUUGCUUUAAAGAAACAUUACACAUUUCAGUGUACUGUAUCACAAAACAUAAAUGUAUAGAGUGUAGUUUUAAAUGAUAACUUUUAAAUUUUAAGUGUUGUAUGUUGUACAUAUAUCUCCUAUAACUCUGUUUACAGUGGCAGUGUAUAAAUAUUCAUCUGUGCUGAUGAUAAUAAAUAAACAAAUAAAUAAAUACAAUGUCACUGUAAAUUUGAAAUGUUUCAAGAAAUGUUUUUACAAGAGAGAGUGAAAUAAGAAAAUAACCAUCAUUCAGUUUUUUUCUAAUGGAAGUAAGCUAUGAAUAUAUUUGAACAAAGGUCAGUCAUUUUUUUGGUUUGGACCUGUCAAAAAUAAUGAUGGAUGUGACUUUGACAGAAAGAAGAUCACAAACUGGGCACCCUGGAAAAUUGAAAUAUGUUGUUUAAAUAAAUUCUUCUUUUUUUUUCAGUCUUGUAAAAAAAAAAUUUCGAAUGACCUCUCUUUCAUGAAUGUUGAUAAUUGUUUUUAUCAAAGGCCUGUAAAUUGACAUGGAUUUUAUUAAAUUUUCAUAUUGUUUAAUUGCUUUUACAUAAAUUUUUAAACUGAUUAAUGUAUUGUGAAAACGAUACACUUGGGCUAAUUAUAGGGAAUUUUUGUAUGUCUGUCUUUGAAUUUUUGUAUGUCAGACUUUGAAUUUUUGUAAUAAUGCACACCAACUGACAGUCGGUAUAUACAUGGAGGCUUGUUGUGUGCCAAAAUAAAAAAAAUCUAAUUAUAUUCUUUCUACAGUAGAUAUUGAGUUUACAUGAAUAGAACAUACAGCAAAAAUAAUGGAUUGGCAUGCUUGAUUUUUUGGUGAAUCUGCUUUAUAAAUUCACAACAAUUCGAUCACCAUUUUCCUAAUAAGAGUCUGAUGUAACAUCAUAUUUUAAGGAUUUACUGUGUAAAGAAAUGUUAAUUUUCACAAAAGAUUCAACAGUUGUAAAAGUACCAAUAUUGCGUCAUGUAUUUUACUUAAAUUAUAACCCCAUGUACUGACUGGCCAAUAGGAAUAAGGUCAGUAAUUCGGUCGAAAAUGUGCUUCCGUGGUGUAGUCGAAAGAAGUCCAUAAUAAAUAGAUCCUAAUUUUCCCAUUUUCUGCGCAAAUUCGUGUAGAACGAGUGCUUUAAUCACAACUUUUCGCUACUAGAAUACAUUCUGCAUGAAAUGAGACGGUUUUCAUAUUCAUAC